GACGAACGCUGGCGGCGCGCUUAACACAUGCAGGUCGAACGGAAAGGCCUGCUUUCCCUUGUGGAUUGCGGGUACUCGAGUGGCGAACGGGUGAGUAACACGUGAGUGAUCUGCCCCCAACUUGGGUAUAAGCCUGGGAAACUGGGUCUAAUUCCCGAUAGGACUGCAGGGUGGUGCCUGUGGUGGAACACGAUUUUCUAGUGGUUGGGGAUGAGCUCGCGGCCUAUCAGCUUGUUGGUGGGGUAAUGGCCUACCAAGGCGGCGACGGGUAGCCGGCCUGAGAGGGUGGACGGCCACAUUGGGACUGAGAUACGGCCCAGACUCCUACGGGAGGCAGCAGUGGGGAAUAUUGCACAAUGGGCGGAAGCCUGAUGCAGCGACGCCGCGUGGGGGAUGACGGCCUUCGGGUUGUAAACUCCUUUCGACCGCGAGGAAGCCACCUGGUUGGAAGGGUGGUGACGGUAGUGGUAGAAGAAGCACCGGCUAACUACGUG
rnacentral:rRNA from 1 species